UACGUAGGGGGCAAGCGUUGUCCGGAAUCAUUGGGCGUAAAGCGCGUGUAGGCGGUUCGAUAAGUCUGCUGUGAAAGUCCAAGGCUCAACCUUGGGGAUGCCGGUGGAUACUGUCGGGCUCGAGUCCGGAAGAGGCGAGUGGAAUUCCUGGUGUAGCGGUGAAAUGCGCAGAUAUCAGGAGGAACACCCGUAGCGAAGGCGGCACUCUGGGCCGGAACUGACGCUGAGGAGCGAAAGCGUGGGGAGCGAACAGG
rnacentral:rRNA from 1 species